rnacentral:tRNA from 1 species
AUUUAAAUAGCUUAAUUAAAGAGCGUAAUAUUGAAGAUAUUAAGGUGAAUUAAAUUUCUUUAAAUA